rnacentral:rRNA from 1 species
CCUACGGGGGGCAGCAGUGGGGAAUAUUGCACAAUGGGCGCAAGCCUGAUGCAGCCAUGCCGCGUGUGUGAAGAAGGCCUUCGGGUUGUAAAGCACUUUCAGCGGGGAGGAAGGCGUUAAGGUUAAUAACCUUGGCGAUUGACGUUACCCGCAGAAGAAGCACCGGCUAACUCCGUGCCAGCAGCCGCGGUAAUACGGAGGGUGCAAGCGUUAAUCGGAAUUACUGGGCGUAAAGCGCACGCAGGCGGUCUGUCAAGUCGGAUGUGAAAUCCCCGGGCUCAACCUGGGAACUGCAUUCGAAACUGGCAGGCUAGAGUCGUGUAGAGGGGGGUAGAAUUCCAGGUGUAGCGGUGAAAUGCGUAGAGAUCUGGAGGAAUACCGGUGGCGAAGGCGGCCCCCUGGACAAAGACUGACGCUCAGGUGCGAAAGCGUGGGGAGCAAACAGGAUUAGAUACCCGAGUAGUC